ensembl:lncRNA
GAGUGGACGUCUUUCUUUAUUUUCGAAAAAUGGCUGCACCAUGACUUCACAUUACAACAUCCAAACAUUGGAAGGGUAAAUUCUUAUUUGUGUCCGUUCAGGGUAGAAGCCAUCCCAUGUGACUCAUGGGGUGUCACAUGUCCAUGCUUAAACCAAUCAUUAGCAAGAGUGAUGGAAUUACAUCAAGUGGUUUAAAGUGAUUCCCUUCUGGGGCUGAGUGUGUGGGAAGGCAAUUCUACAAGAUCGGGGUUCUGCUACUAAGGAAGAGAGGAGGCAGUCAGGCAGUGGGAAAUGGCUAUUGGAUAGAUAAAGGAAUGACAUCUGGAAAUCCGACAAGCAUCUUUUAACCCAGAAGGUUACUAAAGAUUGCUGUGCAGAAAUACAGGAAGUUGGGCUUUUCUGGUGGCACAACGGAUGGAAGUCUGCCUGCUGAUGCAGGGGACAUGGGUUCGAUCCUUGGUCCAGGAGGAUUCCACAAGCCAAGGAGCAACUAUGCCCAUGAGCCUUUGCUCUAGAGCCCUCGAGCCACAACUACAGGACCCAUGUGCUGGAACAUGAAGCUUAUGUGUUGCAGCUACUGAAGCCUGCAUGGCUAGAGCCUGUGCUCCACAGCAAGGGAAACCAUCACGAUGAGAAGCCCAUGCACAGCCACAAAGAGUAGCCCCCACUCACCACAGCUAGAGAAAGCCUGCACCCAGCAAUGAAGACCCAGUGCAACCAAAAAUAAAUAAACAAAUAAAAGAAAGAAAUUUUUUUUUUUUUUCCAAAAAAAGGGAAGAAAUACAGAAAGAGACUUGGUUCCUUGUGACUUCCUGGGGCAUCUAUACCAGUUCAGGCUUCCUCCAUGGGAAUUCUGCAUGACAAAUUAAGUGGUUCAGGUUUCUUAUUGGCAGAAGUAUUAAUC